rnacentral:misc_RNA from 1 species
ACCAAGGUUACCACCUGGUGGUCUAGCAGUACUCAAUCCAAAGUUAACCAUUGUGAGAAAGGUAUAGUACGUUUGUCAAGAUUCAGAUGGCCUUAUCUGAAUCAAAUGCUUAUGACUUCAUGUUGCAUUUUUAGUUCAACAGAGGUGUUUAUGGAACUGUUAAUGUUCAAUGUAUAGCAUGCUAAACUGGUGCAAAAUGCAUAAUUUUCUGAUUUUAGACUUUUUAGUAUGACUUUUACCCCAUUUUAUUUAUUUAUUUAUUAUUCAUUUGAAUCUUUCUGUAGACCUAGGUCGGCAUUACAAAUGCAAUGAUGUAAUCCUGAUUUAACGUUAACCCAUUUGAAUGAUCUUUGGAAAACUGACAUUUUCGUUUUUGUCUGCUUAUAUACUUUUCAGGAAGGGGAUGACCUCAUUGGAGGUUUUGGGUUUGGGUGGAUACUCCCAGAAACACAAAACGAAAUGGAAGAGGAAAGUGAAACGGGUAAGAAGGGUCAUCUGGUUUUUGCUGUUAAUGGACAGAGGUUUGAGCUAUUCACUGUGGACCCUUCUAUGACUUUGCUUGAGUUCCUGCGAACUCAGACCCCUUUCAAGAGUGUAAAGCUUGGUUGUGGUGAAGGUGGU